CAUGCAAGUCGAACGGAACUGUUUUGAAAGAUUUCUUCGGAAUGAAUUUGAUUUAGUUUAGUGGCGGACGGGUGAGUAACGCGUGAGUAACCUGCCUUCAAGAGGGGGAUAACAUUCUGAAAAGAAUGCUAAUACCGCAUGACAUAUCGGAACCACAUGGUUCUGAUAUCAAAGAUUUUAUCGCUUGAAGAUGGACUCGCGUCCGAUUAGUUAGUUGGUGAGGUAACGGCUCACCAAGACCGCGAUCGGUAGCCGGACUGAGAGGUUGAACGGCCACAUUGGGACUGAGACACGGCCCAGACUCCUACGGGAGGCAGCAGUGGGGGAUAUUGCGCAAUGGGGGCAACCCUGACGCAGCAACGCCGCGUGAAGGAUGAAGGUUUUCGGAUUGUAAACUUCUUUUAUUAAGGACGAAACUUGACGGUACUUAAUGAAUAAGCUCCGGCUAACUACGUGCCAGCAGCCGCGGUAAUACGUAGGGAGCAAGCGUUGUCCGGAUUUACUGGGUGUAAAGGGUGCGUAGGCGGCUUUGCAAGUCAGAUGUGAAAUCUAUGGGCUCAACCCAUAAACUGCAUUUGAAACUGUAGAGCCUGAGUGAAGUAGAGGCAGGCGGAAUUCCCCGUGUAGCGGUGAAAUGCGUAGAGAUGGGGAGGAACACCAGUGGCGAAGGCGGCCUGCUGGGCUUUAACUGACGCUGAGGCACGAAAGCGUGGGUAGCAAACAGGAUUAGAUACCCUGGUAGUCCACGCUGUAAACGAUGAUUACUAGGUGUGGGGGGUCUGACCCCUUCCGUGCCGGA
rnacentral:rRNA from 1 species